UACGGAGGGGACUAGCGUUGUUCGGAAUUACUGGGCGUAAAGCGCACGUAGGCGGAUUUGUAAGUCAGGGGUGAAAUCCCGGGGCUCAACCUCGGAACUGCCUUUGAUACUGCAAAUCUCGAGUCCGGAAGAGGCGAGUGGAAUUCCCGGUGUAGCGGUGAAAUGCGCAGAUAUCGGGAGGAACACCAAUGGCGAAGGCAGCUCGCUGGGACGGUACUGACGCUGAGACGCGAAAGCGUGGGGAGCAAACAGG
rnacentral:rRNA from 1 species